GGCUGUCGUAUUCAUCUCAAGGAGGUCAUCUCAGUCCUUCCCGGUGACGAUGGCAAGACGAGAUUCCUCUUCCCACAUAUCCAUUGAUCCAUGGUCAGAUCUCAAGGAGGAGGGGCGUGCGGCGAUUGCCAUCGUCGGUGCCUGCACUGGAAGGUCUCCGGUGCCUGCUCCAACCAGAUCCAGCCGGACUGCCAUCCCAUUGCGAUAUGUGUGCUGCUCCUGUUGUGCAUUUGCUGGUUAAGCCGCUGCUUGUAUAAAAUAUGCUUACUGCUACCCGGGCUCACAUGACCCAGAGGAGAAAGGAGCUGCCCAAGGAAUCACUGCCAGAAGACUCAAUACAAGUGUCUUGGACUCUAGGCCAAGUUCGGCAAGGAAGUAGCAAUGCGAGCUAGCCGAGGGUUCAGACUGAUGUGCGCUUUGAUUCUCGCUGAUUUAUGAUUUUGACCAAACCAAGCUUCUUUGGUUAUCUUGGAGGAGAACCCGCUGUUCCUAGAGGCCUGACGCAUGGUAGAUCACAAGUCCUCCAAAGGGUGGAGCUGUUUCAGGUACCACGAGCACCUUCCACGACAAGCAGGUAGGGUACACUUGAUGUUUCAAGUUUGGUGAAAGAAAAAGAGCUUCAUAUGUUGAUUUCGGGCAAGACAUACAUUCCGCCAUGCAUUAGUAGAUCACUUGCUUCUCUGUGCAGGGGAACAAUUAGUGAUUGAAUCUCUCUGUCAUGUUUCUUGAUUAUCCAAUUAAUUUACCCCCAUCUAUGCAUAAAUUUGUCCGAUUGAGAUAUGCCAUUUUUUUAUGUAAUAAUCUAUAUUGGUUCUAUAUAUGACUAGAACAAUAUGAUACGAUGCACAUCGGUCCGCUUUACUAGGAAUCUAUCUACCUAGAUGGAGGGGAGGCACUCGUGUGGAGCUGCUCAAUGUUCGACGAGAUACACCUGAUUAAACAAGGUUAUUUUAAAAUUCUUUGUGGUUCAUGUUAGCUAGCUAUCAGUAAUAGUACAAUCUUGAUUUUUAUGUCGUUCAGGUUUACCUAACCAUCAGUAACAUUACUUUCUAUUGGAGACUUCUUAUAGGAGGUGCUUAUAAAAUGAUAGUUCAACAGGUACAGAUUUUAGAUUGCGGUCAUCUAUUUACCAGGGCAUCAUUUAACUCAAGGCAUCAAUCAAAAUUUAGCAUUCUUUGUUGUGAGCAGCAAGGGGAAGACAGAGAUUGUCUGAUAUAUGCGAUAGCGCAAUAUAAUUUUCUCUUGCAUAUUUAUAAUCUGCCAUUUGAAUGAUGUUUUCUGUGUUGUAGUCCAAUCAAGACAAUUUGCAACUUUGGUGUUGUGACGUUGGAGGCCGUGCUCAACAGCAAUGGAGUAAUGUCGUUGAUGCCUGACCCAUGAUGACGGUGAAGGAACGAGAGUCGACGAGGGGUGGACGCCAUGGGUUCGUGAACAGGCCAAGCCUCCGUUGUUCGUUUGGUAAUGUCCGACGCAUUAGAGGCAUAGUAUGACAUGCCCUGAUUUUGUUGACGUCGUCUACCAACAUCCGACGAAGGAGAACCCGUCCCGGUUUCCAUCUUGAUGGUAAGUUCUUUAAUCUUCUAUCUCAUGGGAUGUGAUGUGGUUGCCUUCAUUUUGGCUUUUGACAAAGGACUGAAAUUAGCUUAUAUGCUUCCGAAGUGAUAUUAUCAACCUUCAGCGCCACCACACUAAAUGGCGUAGGAUAGACUGAUGUUUCAUGUGAUGUGCUUUAAGCCAAUGUUUCAGCUUGUGUCGACCCAACAUGUAUUUUUAGUUUCAGUUGUUGAGCUCUGCACUACAAAACCGAGAAAGACCCAUGGCUUUUUACAGACUACAAAUAGAGGGAAAUUGGCUUGUGCCUUACUAGAGAUAGAUGAACCAGUAAAAUGAUUGAAAAGGCUCUUUCCAAGCAUAAGAUAUACUUUUGUUUUCUGGAAGUCCCAACUAUGCCUAGCUUCUACCACCAGGAACUAUGCACUGCUCAAUAAGCAAGUUACAUUAGGAUGAAUACAUCGGAUCCUUGCAAUAAAACAUGGACACAAUUUCCAGAUACUAUUCUAUGUGCAAGAAUAGGAAAUUUCUCUACAAGCUGAUUUCGUCAUCAUCACCCGAGGAAGAGGAAACUCUGUUGAAGAAAUAUUUUUGUGAGGUGAAAUACCAGCAACUAUUGUUUACACAAGCAUAGAAUAGCAUAAAUGAUGAACUAUGAAAGAAACGUGUAUGUGUGGCAAAUUGCACUGUCAUAAUCACCAUAAAGAUGCUAAAUUGUCAAAAAAUAAGAAUUUUUGUAAGGGUCAGAUAGGUUAUAUAUUGAAAAGAAGUUCCGAGAACACAACUCAACUAAGGGCUUCCAGGUUAUACAGCUAGGUGUACCAAAUAGCCAAAUAGGUGAACUGAGCACUGCGUACUUCACAACGAAUUAAAUUUCAACACUAUUUUGAACUAAAGGAAUCACGAGACAGGAGAUAUGUAAGUUGCGAAUAAGCUGUACAAAAUGUCCUGACAAAUGAACUAUAUGUGUUUUGGACAUUGACAAUUCAGUUGCGCCGAAGUAUAAAGUGAGUACGAAUAUGUGAAAUAGAUGGCAAUAUGUAAUACAGGAGAGAUUACUCACAGAUGUAAAUUGUAAUUCAUAAUACCUUUCACCAUGGUUUAUGACUGAUAAAUCUGUCAUUUGCUACUUGUUUUACAAACAAAAUAAAUAAUAGCCACCGGAGUUCACUUGUUCAUUGUUCUCACAGGAAACAAAUAGAAUCUGCAGUCCCUUACUAACAAUGUAUAUUCCAUCAAACUCUAUGAGAUCCCGAUGAUAUGCACUAAAAAAUAGUGAAAGGGGGGAAUUCAUGUUUCCAGUUCACUCAAGCUAUAUACACAGCAAUUUAUGGAUACAAAAAUUAAUUGGUUUACCUAAUUUGUUACCUUUCUGAAGUAACCCUCACCUUUUAUUGAAAAUCUGAAGUAGUACGGUUGGAUGAAUGUGCUUGUUCAGUGAUGACUAUUGUACCAAAGUUGCCUGUCCGGUUUAUCAUCUCCUUUGAUACAAGAAUCCCAGCGAAUCUGAAUAUAUACUGGUUAAUGUUGCAAUGAGAAUACUCGGACUUAAAGUAACUCCUGUUCCAAGCAGCAAUUUUCUGCAAAAACCAGUUGCAUUAUGAUGAUUUAGCAACAUCCAUAACGCAGACGA